GGGUCAGUAGGUUGGUCGUGCCACCGGUACGUACUGGUCUCACUGAUUCCUCCUUCCUGAAGAACCGUAAUGCCAUUAAUUUGGUGUUGCGGGGAAACAGGACUGUUACUUUGAAAAAAUUAGAGUGUAUAAAGAAAGCUAACGCUUGAAUACAUUAGCAUGGAAUAAUGAAAUAGGACGAUCGAUCCUAUUUUGUUGGUUUCUAGGAUUGACGUA
rnacentral:rRNA from 1 species